CUGCUAACAUCAAAUUUCCUUGCCAUAAGAAACUUGACAGCUGUAUUCCAUGACAGAGGCCCAACGUUCCGAGACCGUCGCAGCUCAUUAACUUGUUCUACAAACUCUUUUGUCGCCUGGAGGAAGCGUCCAUGGCGCCGCACAGCACCAUCCUUGGCGCUCUGUCGUCGAACUGGCACUUGGAGGUAAGAGAAUCGC